UACGGAGGGGGCUAGCGUUGUUCGGAAUUACUGGGCGUAAAGCGCACGUAGGCGGCUUUGUAAGUUAGAGGUGAAAGCCCGGAGCUCAACUCCGGAACUGCCUUUAAGACUGCAUCGCUUGAAUCAUGGAGAGGUCAGUGGAAUCCCGAGUGUAGAGGUGAAAUUCGUAGAUAUUCGGAAGAACACCAGUGGCGAAGGCGACUGACUGGACAUGUAUUGACGCUGAGGUGCGAAAGCGUGGGGAGCAAACAGG
rnacentral:rRNA from 1 species